CCUACGGGCGGCAGCAGUGGGGAAUAUUGGGCAAUGGGCGCAAGCCUGACCCAGCCACGCCGCGUGAAGGAAGAAGGCCCUCGGGUUGUAAACCUCUUUUCUCAGGGACGAAGCGAGUGACACUCCCUCAGGAAUAAGCCACGGCUACCUAAGUGCCAGCAGCCGCGGUAAUACGUAGGUGGCAAGCGUUAUCCGGAUUUACUGGGUGUAAAGGGAGUGUAGGCGGGACUGCAAGGCAGAUGUGAAAUCCACGGGCUCAACCUGUGGACUGCAUUUGAAACUGUAGUUCUUGAGUGCUGGAGAGGCAGGCGGAAUUCCUGGUGUAGCGGUGAAAUGCGUAGAUAUUAGGAGGAACACCAGUGGCGAAGGCGGUCUGCUGGACAGCAACUGACGCUGAGGCGCGAAAGCGUGGGGAGCAAACAGGAUUAGAUACCCUGGUAGUC
rnacentral:rRNA from 1 species